UACGUAGGGUGCGAGCGUUGUCCGGAAUUACUGGGCGUAAAGAGCUCGUAGGUGGUUUGUCGCGUUGUUCGUGAAAUCUCACGGCUUAACUGUGGAGCGUGCGGGCGAUACGGGGCAGACUAGAGUACUGCAGGGGAGACUGGAAUUCCUGGUGUAGCGGUGAAAUGCGCAGAUAUCAGGAGGAACACCGGUGGCGAAGGCGGAUCUCUGGGCCGAUACUGACGCUGAGGAGCGAAAGCGUGGGGAGCGAACAGG
rnacentral:rRNA from 1 species